GACGAACGCUGGCGGCGUGCUUAACACAUGCAAGUCGAACGGAAAGGCCCUGCUUUUGUGGGGUGCUCGAGUGGCGAACGGGUGAGUAACACGUGAGUAACCUGCCCUUGACUUUGGGAUAACUUCAGGAAACUGGGGCUAAUACCGGAUAGGAGCUCUUGCUGCAUGGUGGGGGUUGGAAAGUUUCGGCGGUUGGGGAUGGACUCGCGGCUUAUCAGCUUGUUGGUGGGGUAGUGGCUUACCAAGGCUUUGACGGGUAGCCGGCCUGAGAGGGUGACCGGCCACAUUGGGACUGAGAUACGGCCCAGACGCCUACGGGAGGCAGCAGUGGGGAAUAUUGCGCAAUGGGCGGAAGCCUGAUGCAGCAGCGCCGCGUGCGGGAAGACGGCCUUCGGGUUGUAAACCGCUUUCGCCUGUGACGAAGCGUGAGUGACGGUAAUGGAUAAAGAAGCACCGGCUAACUACGUG
rnacentral:rRNA from 1 species